rnacentral:misc_RNA from 1 species
UCUAGAACGUAACAAGAGGAGAAACACAGAGACGAAAAGGUGGACUGGCGCACGUUGCGUGCACAGUUACCGUAAUCACCACUACUCACUCUUGCAUGGCUGUCACAGGCUCCCUGUCUUUAGCUAUUCGUGUUUGUGCUCCCGUUUACCCGUGCAGAGUGGUUGUCUCCUCAGCGACUCGUGCGUAACGAACGAAGGCCACCUGGCCCCCUUGGCCGAGGGAUUCCACGGAGGCUUGCCUGACGCCAUAACCUCUCUGCACUGUCGUUACCGGCGUAGCCUUUUCAUCCGGCGCUCGUCAUUCACUCCCCCGCGAGGGGUGCUCUGGUGCGAGACCCCACACGGCGACAACGGUAAGGCCGUGAGCUCCUCUGUCUUUUCCUGCUGGCGUGGGCUCUCUCACUGGACGACGGCAGGGGGUCUUCGCCGCCACGCUCCUCCUUCCGACUCUCCGCACCACGCCUCGGUCACAGCUGAUCUCGAAGACCUCACACGUCUUUUUGCCUGCCUUUCCUUUUCUAUUGUGGUGCACACAAGCGCGAGCCAGUGGCGUGGCGGGCUGCGCAUACGCGACGCUGUCGCCGUGAGCGUUGACACCCACAAAACAUCUCGACACACGCACGCCUGGAGCCGACCCGAACAGUGGUGGCCGUACAGACAUAAGAAGGGAGAGAGGGAGCAGAGGUGUAGAGGGGGGAGGAGGUGCAGAAAACGAACGAACCGCACUGAAACGGCGCGUGCUUGACUAGACGCGUGGCGCACGUAUACGUCGGCGCGUGCCUGUGCUGUCAGCAGGGCGAGGAGGCGGCGAAUUGCCCGCACGUUUCCGUUUGUGCGUGGGCGUGUGUCCACUUGCUCUUUCUGCUCAAGUCAUGAAUGGUGGUCCUCGACUUUCACCUGACGGUGACGGCUCCGGUGGGCCGCCGACGGUACCGAUGCCCUUCUCCUUGAGCAGUAGCAUCCGGAAUGGUGUGGGCACCAGCGGCGGUCAGGACGCCCGAUACCUGGUUAACACGGGCUCAUCCUCAGCUGCUGCGUCGUCGUACGGGAUUGAACGACCCAGCGCGACGGAGCUCAAUGACGGCGUCAUUGAGCGACUCAGCGAGUUGGCGACGGCAGCGCUCAGCUCGCCGGAUAAGGAAACACGCGACAGUGCGGCACAGCAGCUCCUGUUCCUUAGCAGCUACGAGUACUGGGACACGCUUCGCGUCCUCUUGCCACGUGCACAGAACAAUUACCUGCGCUUUAUUGUGGUGAAAGGCCUGCUGUUUCUUGUGAGCAACGAGCUGGGGCCGCAGGAGCGGACGGAGAUGCAGCAGUACGUGCUCGAGUACCUCCAGGAACGCCGGCGCUGCGGCGAGAAGCUGCCCUUCUACCUGUCCAACGCUCUCUUCUCAGUCUAUGCGUCGGCGCUGUUCAGCAACUGGAAAAUCUCCAUCAUUCGCGCGGAGUCGGCGGAGAUGGUGGACUCGAGCGAGAUGGCGCAGAGCAUCUUCUCCAAGCUUGAGGCGUACCUCACCACAGAGGAGACACUGGACUGCGUGCUGGAGAUACUCACCUUCUUUGCGCGGCAGAAUUCGCGGCUCAGCAUCUUGUCUGUGAAGAGCAGCUUCGCGAAGCAGGUGCUGCCCUUCUUCUUUAGCGCGGCAGCAAAUAUGCUGUCGAGCGCGCCGGAGAAGGCGGCUCUGGUGUGCAGCACGGCCCUCGAGUGCGCGCCGGAGUUGGAGGCGCCGCUGGUGCGGCUGCACCACCCCUCCGACACCUCCAUCACGGUUCUGCGGUGGCCGGCGUGGGCCCCGGCGCUGUCGCAGGUAAUGAACGCGUGCGGCCAGGCGCUCCUCAACCAUCCAGAGGGUCCGUGCGCUGCGCUGUACUCGCGCCUGCUGCGCCAGUGCUCCACCGUGACGAGUCCGCAGGAGGAGUACAUUGCCAGUCGUGAUGACGUGGCGAAUGUGCUGCUGGACGUGUCGGGCCGACUCCUGCUGAAGGUGCAGGAGAAUCCAGAGAGGACGGAGCUGCUCCGGUUGGCCUGUGCGCUGCUCGUGAACACGUUUGAGCGAAACGACGAGACGACGGUGGCAUACCUGGCGCGCGACCCCGGUGUGAUUCGCGUCUGGGCGGAUGCAGCACGCUACGUCCUUGGCCGCCCGUUUGACGAGGAGGAGGCUGACCUGCGCCAGGCGCUGCUGCACCUCUUCUUCAUGAUUGCGGAGCGCAUGCUACCACCCAAACCGCGCGGUGGCCGCGGCCUCGACGAGUCGUUCACCGGGCAGUACGGCGCAUGCACACCGCCGCGAACGCGAGAGGGCUGCUUGGUGGAGCAGGGCUUCUCCGCGGAGCGCGUGGGGCGCCAGGUACAACCGCAGCCGCACACGUCGCCGCCCUCGGCCCCUCGCGGACCGCUCUCCACCGAAUGCACCCGGGAGGUGGAGCAGCAGGUGAUUGACAUCUUCAGCACGUACGUCGACCUCGUCAUCAACACGGCGCAUGAGCGGGAGGAGUCGCAGGAGCUGCGCACCGGCCCCACCUUUGUGCUACAAACGGAGCGGAUACUGCAGCCAAUUGCCGAGGUGCUCUUCUGCGAGCGCAUCGAUCUCCUGCCGCAGCUGGUUGACCGCCUGCAGCAGACAAUUCACCAGUACGAGCUGUGUGUCCGCGCGCGUGGGGAGCAGCAGGUAACCAUGCAUAGUUCUGCCGCCGCCAGCGGCGGCGGCAGCGACGGUUUCGGCUUGAGCGCGCGGUCGCUGCUGCAGGAGCUGUACAUGACGCUGGCGGUGCAGAACAUGAGCGUGGGCGCGGCGCUGAGCUGCCCAGCGGAGACUGCGGAGUCCACGCCGCUCUUCUUUACGUACGUGUGCCUUUCCCGCCUUUCCGUGAUCGUCUCCAUCUUUGCCAUCGCGCUGCUGCAGGGGACGGCGAGCCGCGAUGACUCCGUGCUCGGUGCCAUCGCAUCCUUUGCGCGCCAGCUCUUGGGGCAAGAGGACCAGGUGACGGAGAAUCUGCUGCAGUGCCUGUCGCUCCUGGACGACGGCAACGACGACUUGAACGGCUUCGGUGGAGCUACAACACCUGCAGUGCCGACCUCUUCCGGCCCCGCAGCCCAGGUGCACAUUGGCAUCUUGCGUUCGCUCUUCUUUUUCUGCGGCUGCGUGUACGAGACGAACCUGUCGCGCCGCGAGGAGUUCUACGACAUCACCGUGAAUCUGCUGUGCUACGUGUACCGUUACCACAGCGAUCAGGUGGCGCUGGUGGUGGACGCGAACGUCCUGCUGACCCGCAUCGUCGACUUCGGCUCCAGCGGCACCUUCUUCCUCGGCGCGGGGAAGCUGAUGGGCCUUAUCGAGGCUGUCAAGGAGGACCAGCUGCCGCUGCUGCAGACGCCGUCGACGCCGCAGUUCGGCGCUGUUGACCUACGGCUGCCGAGCGAGGUGGCGGAGGCGCGCCACGGAUUUCUCACCGCCUUCACGUUUUACGUGGAGACGCGCUACUACGCCGGCUUCCCAAUCGCAGAUGUCAUCAGCACCCUGACGGAGCGCUGCUUCGACGACGCCCGCAUGCAGGUGAACCCGCGCCUCAGCUUUCAGGACCUGAAGGCAAUCACGAAAGGCAUACAUCAACCUGACACGCUGCAGCUGAUGCUGGAGUCGAUCAUAAGACACAAAGAUGUCUGCUGGGCCGUCGUCCGCUACGAGGCGGCGGCGGCGCCGGACAUGAUCGCGUGGCUGUCGGUGCUGUGCAGCCGCAGUUGCCAGUACAUGGACGAGGAGAACUUGUCCACGACGCAGUGGGAGCUGACGAGCUUUGUGAUGAACGUGCUGUGCUGCUACUUCAGCUACCUGUCGUACCCUUCAUCACCCAUGACCACUGCCAGCGACGGCACCCCCGCCUUUGGCGCCCCAGCAAGCGCCGACGGAGGUGGCAUGCUCCCUGAAACCGCCGACUCGUCGCUUGUCAUGAACGGGGGUAGCACGUCGACCUUCUUCUCCUUCCCGGCCGAUGCCGUCGAGGCGGCUGUCGUCUACGACGUGUCCGACAUCCUCAACACAUUCUGCUCGGCGCCGUGGUGCAACCUGGGCAUCGUCCUCUAUUACGAGCGUGCCACUGUCGAGCAUUUCUUCUGCGGCGCUGUGGAACUGCUCACGACGACAUCGGUGCAGUUGCUCAUGUCGGAAGAAGGCCGCACGCGUGUCUUCAACGCGAUGUCGGCCGCUGUCAACUCCUGCGGCCACACCUUUCAGCAGCUGCACCUCCUGUACAUGCGCCAAGGGGUGUGGAACCGGCUCGUGCGGCAGCUAACGAAGUGCCUCAGCUACAUGUACGCCCCGGACCUGAUUGACAUUCUCUACGCCAUUCUCCGUGGCAACCACCAGGCUCGGCAGCGCGUGCCGCAUUAUAAGGGCUUAGAGGAGUACACUCUCGCUGCGACCUUCAACGAGAUCUGCACACUUGUGGCCGUGGCGCCGCACCUGACGUACCGCGAGAUGUCGGCGUGCUUUGGGCUGCUGCAGAUGUGCUACGACGGCGCCAAGAUGCUGUGCGGUGAGUACGCAGACAGGCUGCUGGACCUCUGCUCCGCCUACCACCGGGUGCGUCUGCGACUCAUCAUCAACUCCCUCCGCCGCGGCGACGGCGCGCACCUGAUGACGGAGUACAUGACAUAUUUUGGACAGUCGUCCAACGUUGGGGUGCUGACGGCGUGGUAGGAUGCGGCGGGGCGGCCGUUGCCAGAGUGUUGCUGUUGAUGCCAGUGCUGGUUGUUGAUGAGGUUGAUUGCUUACAUAG